AAGCCCCUCUCCCUCACCGCGUACAUCGUCGCCGAGUUCCGAUCCUCCCGUACAUCUCGAGAAAGGCGAAUCAACUCCCCGUCAGCGUGCCCAUGUCGUUGCCGAGUUCGGAUCUCCCCUUGGAAUUAGACCUAGAGAAAGGCGCUGCCUGGCCGGCGGCGACAAAGGAGGAGGGCUGGCCGUGAUGAACCUUCGCGCGUUCAAGUAUAUCAUCGCGCUGGAUGUGAUCAUAGCGCUGUAUUUGCUGUUUUAACUUGGCCUGAUCGGAUGGGCUACGAAGGUUUCCAACAACCCGCGGGAUGCAUGGCCGGUUACUAUUAUCGCAUCGCUAGUCUGGAUGUUGUUACUCGCCGUGUAUCUUCCGCUUAAGAAGCGUGCGCUAGGAAGCGAUGAUGGUGAUCUUAGUACCAAAUUACUGGCAUCUAAGAAAUAAGCCAAUGAGUGAGUUUUGUGAAUAAGGAGCAACGUUUAUAGUUAAUAUUUGGAGUACAGUGCCCUGGUCGUGGUACUAAACUGGUGGUUACAUGGUGUCUGCGUUUAAUCUAGUGCUGCUUUUGUACAACCUCCUGAUAGAUGGAGCAGCUUCAAGAUUUGUGUGGAUUUCA